GACGAACGCUGGCGGCGUGCUUAACACAUGCAAGUCGAACGGAAAGGCCCUGCUUGCAGGGUACUCGAGUGGCGAACGGGUGAGUAACACGUGGGUGAUCUGCCCUGCACUUCGGGAUAAGCCUGGGAAACUGGGUCUAAUACCGGAUAGGAGCCAUUUUUAGUGUGAUGGUUGGAAAGUUUUUUCGGUGUAGGAUGAGCUCGCGGCCUAUCAGCUUGUUGGUGGGGUAAUGGCCUACCAAGGCGGCGACGGGUAGCCGGCCUGAGAGGGUGGACGGCCACAUUGGGACUGAGAUACGGCCCAGACGCCUACGGGAGGCAGCAGUGGGGAAGAUUGCACAAGGGGCGCAAGCCGGAUGCAGCGACGCCGCGGGGGGGAUGACGGCCUUCGGGUUGUAAACGCCUUUCGCUAGGGACGAAGCUUUUUGUGACGGUACCUAGAUAAGAAGCACCGGCUAACUACGUG
rnacentral:rRNA from 1 species